rnacentral:rRNA from 1 species
GAGGGGUGCAAACGUUAUUCGGAUUUAUUGGGUGUAAAGGGUGUGUAGACGGCCUAUUAAGUUUGUUGUUAAAUCUUCCGGCCUAACCGGAAGCUCGCGAUGAAAACUGAUAGACUUGAGGAUGGAAGAGAGAAGUGGAAUUCUCGGAGUAGCGGUAAAAUGCGUAGAUCUCGAGAGGAACACCGAUGGCGAAGGCAGCUUCUUGGUCCAUUCCUGACGUUGAAACACGAAAGCGUGGGAAGCAAACAGGAUUAGAUACCCUGGGUAGUCCACGCCGUAAACGAUGUUCACUAGAUGUUGGCCCCUGUUUUGCAGGGUUAGUAUCGAAGCUAACGCGUUAAGUGAUCCACCUGGGAACUACGAUCGCAAGAUUA